rnacentral:rRNA from 1 species
AUUGAACGCUAGCGGGAUGCUUUACACAUGCAAGUCGAGCGAGUGGCGGACGGGUGAGUAAUAUAUCGGAACGUGCCCAGUAGCGGGGGAUAACUACUCGGAAGAGUGGCUAAUACUGCAUACAACUGGAGCGGCCGUUGUCGGAUUUGCUAUGUGGGGGGGUAAAGGCUCACCAAGGCAACGAAACGUAGCGGGUUUGAGAGGACGACCAGCCACACUGGGAUUUAGCCACGGCCCAGACUCCUACGGGAGGCAGCAUUGGGGAAUUUUGGACAAUGGGGGAAACCCUGAUCCAGCCCUCCCGCGUGUAUGAGAAGGCCUUCGUGUUGUAAAGUUCUUUUGGCAGAGAAGCGGUAUCUGCAGAAUAAGCACCGGCUAACUCCGUGCCAGCAGCCGCGGUAAUUC